rnacentral:sRNA from 1 species
CAUCAAAGUCUGGAGCACAAGCACCUGUGAAUUUGUUCGUACUCUCAAUGGGCACAAGCGAGGCAUUGCCUGUCUGCAGUACAGGGAUCGGCUGGUUGUUAGUGGAUCAUCAGAUAAUACCAUUAGGCUCUGGGAUAUUGAAUGUGGUGCCUGUUUAAGAGUCCUAGAGGGACAUGAAGAAUUGGUCCGAUGCAUCCGGUUUGAUAACAAGAGGAUUGUCAGUGGGGCCUAUGAUGGGAAAAUUAAAGUUUGGGACUUGCAAGCUGCUCUUGACCCUCGAGCCCCAGCAAGCACGUUGUGUUUGCGCACAUUGGUGGAACAUUCUGGACGUGUGUUUCGGCUCCAGUUUGAUGAGUUUCAGAUCAUCAGCAGCUCCCAUGAUGACACUAUUUUGAUUUGGGAUUUCUUAAAUGUGCCUCCCAGUGCCCAGAAUGAGACCCGUUCUCCCUCCAGAACAUACACUUACAUCUCUAGAUAACAGUCUGCACUUUCACCCGUUUCAGGAACACUGAAAGUCAUUAUAACCAUUUAUGACAGAAUGUUUUGAUUAUUACUAAGGGUAUUCAGUCUGGAAGAUGAGAAGUCUUACUUGGCUGUGUCCUAGGAACUGAUGACUUAGGAACAGUAUUGACAACUCUGUGUGUUCUGCUGAGGGCCAGUGAAUUCUAUACACAUUAAACUUUGUAGAUUGAAUAAAUGUUUACACAUAAACAUA